GAUGAACGCUGGCGGCGUGCCUAAUACAUGCAAGUCGAGCGAAUGGAUUAAGAGCUUGCUCAUAUGAAGUUAGCGGCGGACGGGUGAGUAACACGUGGGUAACCUGCCCAUAAGACUGGGAUAACUCCGGGAAACCGGGGCUAAUACCGGAUAACAUUUUGAACCGCAUGGUUCGAAAUUGAAAGGCGGCUUCGGCUGUCACUUAUGGAUGGACCCGCGUCGCAUUAGCUAGUUGGUGAGGUAACGGCUCACCAAGGCAACGAUGCGUAGCCGACCUGAGAGGGUGAACGGGCACACUGGGACUGAGACACGGCCCAGACUCCUACGGGAGGCAGCAGUAGGGAAUCUUCCGCAAUGGACGAAAGUCUGACGGAGCAACGCCGCGUGAGUGAUGAAGGCUUUCGGGUCGUAAAACUCUGUUGUUAGGGAAGAACAAGUGCUAGUUGAAUAAGCUGGCACCUUGACGGUACCUAACCAGAAAGCCACGGCUAACUACGUGCCAGCCGCCGCGGUAA
rnacentral:rRNA from 1 species